rnacentral:rRNA from 1 species
CAUCCAGACUCCUACGGGAGGCAGCAGUGGGGAAUAUUGCACAAUGGGGGAAACCCUGAUGCAGCAACGCCACGUGAGUGAUGACGGCCUUCGGGUUGUAAAGCUCUGUCUUCAGGGACGAUAAUGACGGUACCUGAGGAGGAAGCCACGGCUAACUACGUGCCAGCAGCCGCGGUAAUACGUAGGGAGCAAGCGUUGUCCGGAAUUACUGGGCGUAAAGGGUGCGUAGGCGGCCUGGUAAGUCAGAUGUGAAAUACCCGUGCUUAACAUGGGGGGUGCAUCUGAUACUGUCAGGCUUGAGUGCAGGAGAGGAAGGCGGAAUUCCUAGUGUAGCGGUGAAAUGCAUAGAUAUUAGGAGGAACACCAGUGGCGAAGGCGGCUUUCUGGACUGUAACUGACGCUGAGGCACGAAAGCGUGGGGAGCAAACAGGAUUAGAUACCCUAG